rnacentral:rRNA from 1 species
CAGAGGGUUUGAUUAUGGCUCAGAUUGAACGCUGGCGGGAUGCUUUACAUGCAAGUCGAACGGCAGCACGGACUUCCGGUCUGGUGGCGGGUGGCGAACAGGUGAGUAAUGUAUCAAGACGUGCCCCUAGUGGCAGGGGAUAACUACGCGAAAGCGUAGCUAAUACCGCAUACGCCCUUCGGGGGAAAAGCAGGGGACAACUUCGGGCUCUUUAUUAGAGCGGCCGAUAUCGGAUUAGCUAGUUGGUGGGGUAACGGCUCGCAAGAGGCGACGAUCCGUAGCUGGUUUGAGAGGACGACCAGCCGCACUGGGACUGAGACUUUGACCCAGACUCCUACGGGAGAGCAGCAGUGAGAGAUUUGGACAAUGGGAAACCCUGAUCCAGCCAUCCCGCGUGUGCGAUGAGGCCUUCCCGGGUUGUAAAUAACACUUUGGCGGGAAAAGAAACGGCACGGGAUGAUACCCCGUGCAACUGACAGUACCUGCAGAAUAAGCACCGGCUAACUACGUGCCAGCAGCCGCGAAGUAUGCAGCAGGGUGCAAGCGUUAAUCGGAAUUACUGGGCGUAAAGCGUGCGCAGGCGGUUCCGGAAAAGAAGAGAUCUUGAAAUCCCAGAGCUUAACUUUGGAACUGCAUUUUUAACUACCGAGCUAGAAGUGUGUCAGAGGAGGUGGAAUUCCGCGUGGCAGUGAAAUGCGGCCGAUAUGCGGAGGAACACCGAUGGCGAAGGCAGCCUCCUGGGAUAACACUGACGCUCAUGCACGAAAAGCGUGGGGAGCAAACAGGAUUAGAUACCCUGGUAGUCCACGCCCUAAACGAUGUCAACUAGCUGUUGGGGCCUUCAGGCCUUGGUAGCGCAACUAACGCGUGAGGUGACCGCCGCAAGUACGGUCGCAAGAUUAAAACUCCAAAGGAAUUGACGGGGACCCGCACAAGCGGUGGAUGAUGUAGUUAAUUCGAUGCAACGCGAAAACCUUACCUACCCUUGACAUGUGUCUGGAAUCCCGAAGGGUUGAGUGUAUAGAGAACCAGGAACACAGGUGCUGCAUGGCUGUCGUCGCUCGUGUCGUGAGAUGUUGGGUUAAGUCCCGCAACGAGCGCAACCCUUGUCAUUAGUUGCUACGAAGGGCACUCUAAUGAGACUGCCGGUGACAAACCGGAGGAAGGUGAGGAUGACGUCAAGUCCUCAUGGCCACUAUGGAGCAGGGAUUCACACGUCAUGCAAUGGUCGGGACGGGGGUCGCCAACCCGCGAGGAAUGACCCAGAAACCCGAUCGUAGUCCGGAUCGCAGUCUGCCGCUCGACUGCGUGGAAGUCGGAAUCGCUAGUAAUCGCGGAUCGGCAUGUCGCGGUGAAUACGUUCCCGGUCUUGUACACACCGCCCGUCACACCAUGGGAGUGGGUUUUACCAAGUAGUUAGCCUAGCAAGCUUCAGGAGGCGAUUACGGUAAGUUCAUGACUGGGGUGAAGUCGUAACAAAGGUAA